AGCGAACGCUGGCGGCAGGCCUAACACAUGCAAGUCGAACGGACCCUUCGGAGUUAGUGGCGGACGGGUGAGUAACACGUGGGAACCUGCCUACAGGUUCGGAAUAGCUCACGGAAACGGGUGGUAAUGCCGAAUGUGCCCUUCGGGGGAAAGCUUUAUCGCCUUUAGAGCGGCCCGCGGCUGUUUAGCUAGUUGGUGGUGUAUCGGACCACCCAGGCGACGAUCAGUAGCUGGUCUGAGAGGAUGAUCAGCCACAUUUGGACUGAGACACGGCCCAAACACCUUCGGGAGGCAGCAGUGGGGAAUCUUGCGCAAUGGGCGAAAGCCUUACUCAGCCAUACCGCGUGAAGGAUUAAGGUCUUAUGAUUGUAAAAUUCUUUCACCAGGGACGAUAAUGACGGUACCCGGAGAAAAAGCCCCGGCUAACUUCGUGCCAGCCGCCGCCGUAACAC
rnacentral:rRNA from 1 species